GUGGGAGGGGGCUUGCUCCCGAUAGGGGCUUAUCAGUCGAUGCAUAUGUGACUGAACCGCCGCAAUCGGGAGCAAGCCCCCUCCCCC
rnacentral:misc_RNA from 1 species